ACCGCAGUGUUUCUAGAAGGAUACCAAGUUAGAGCACCUCCAUUGGAGGUUUUUAGAGAGGGUUCUAAAAAAAAACCAAUAAAAAUAAAUGAAAAAGAAAAUAAAACCAAAGAUCCGGUGCCAAACUAAGGGGUUUUGGAACCACUAGACACCCCAUACGUGUUCUGUUCUUAUUGGCCGCCUCUCUUUCUUCUUCUAUGGUUUUUUUUUGUGUCUGAGAAAUCUAGUGUUGUUGCUCUCCUUCUCCAGAUCCGUUCAUUGAAAUCACCUUGUAGCUUCUCACAUGAAAGUAAUUGGGCGUGAUUGAGUUUCCAGAUGGAUUACCUCCUACUACGUCGACAAGGAAAAAGGAGAAUCUUUCAGAGAUGGAGCAGCAACUGAAGAAGGCAGAAGCUGCUCAAAGGCGAAAAGUUCAGAUUGAGAAGGCUGCAAGAGAGUCCGAGGCAGAAGCCAUUAGAAAAAUUCUAGGAUAGGAUUCGAGCAGGAAGAAGCGUGAAGACAAAAUUAAAAAAUGGCUCAGGAGAAAGCUGCACACGAGGAAAGGGCCUCAACAAGCUACAUCAGGACAAUAAUGGGUCCUAAUGGAACAACUGUUUCAUUUCCCAUUGACAAAGUGUCUAGCCUGUUUGAUCCCAAACCAUCUGGAUUGUUAAUGAGUUCAUGACAAAGCUUCCUCUCUGCAGUCUCAAAUGUUACAAGGUAGUUCAGGAGCAGCAUCAGUAGCAGACUGCACCGGUUUAGAUAUUGAUUUGAUUUUUUCUGAUACAAAAGGUCAAGAACUCAGCUCUCUGAGUUUAUAGAGAUUACAGGACAUGUUUUAGUUUUUCUUUUGCUUUGCUUCAGACUUGUCUGAUUGGAUAUAGUUCAUUUUUCAUAUGUGAGAUGAGCUCAUGUUUAUUUGAAUUUUUAUUUAGGCUUUUCUUUCAUGUUUGUUUAAAAUUUCUAAUAAUAAAUUUGUAUUUCUGUUUUUAA